UUUCACUGUGUCUCCUACGGCUUCCUCAGCUGGGUUCAAUAUUCCCAGCUGAGGAAGCCGUAGGAGACACGGUGAAAC